CCCUUAGAUGUCCUGGGCCGCACGCGCGUUACACUGAUGCAUUCAACGAGCUUAUAACCUUGGCCGAGAGGCCUGGGCAAUCUUGUUAACGUGCAUCGUGAUGGGGAUAGAUUAUUGAAAUUAUUAAUCUUGAACGAGGAAUUCCUAGUAAACGCAGAUCAUCAAUCUGCAUUGAUUAUGUCCCUGCCCUUUGUACACACCGCCCGUCGCACCUACCGAUUGGAUGGUCCGGUGAAGCCUCGGGAUUGUGGUUCUUGCCGCUUUAUUGUGGCGUGACCGCGAGAACUUGUCUAAACCUUAUCAUCUAGAGGAAGGUGAAGUCGUAACA
rnacentral:rRNA from 1 species